rnacentral:snRNA from 1 species
GGAUGUGAGGGCGAUCUGGCUGCAACAUCUGUCACCCCAUUGAUCGCCAGGGUUGAUUCGGCUGAUCUGGCUGGCUAGGCGGGUGUCCCCCUCCUCCCUCACCGAUCCAUGUGCGUCCCUCCCGAAGCUGCGCGCUCGGUAGAAGAGGAUGACCUUCCCCCCAGAGGAGAGGACCAAUCUUCAGUCAAGGGUAUACAAGUAGCUGCGCUCUCCCCCUUCUUUCCUCUCUCGCUCUGAAAAAUAUUCUACGUGAAAGCAAAGGUAAACACUUUGUUUUUCUGUGGGACUUUGUCCACAUUUUAUGAA